UCCAGAAUAUCGCACAGUUUAUUGAGUUCACGAGAACUGUGACCGACGGCAGCACCGACCUUUACAGAGACUCAAAGGGCUCCCAUUCCCGUUUGCUGACGUGCGCAGCAGCCGCUUCCUCCGGGCGUGUCCCUUCAUCCGGGAACAGGAGCCAUCAACGUGUCACAGACUUAGAGCCGGAAGGGUUCUUCGCCACCGUGAUGGAAAGAAAAACGUCCUUCAAGGAGGGAGCUAGAAGAGCCUAGGAACAGAGAUAACGAAGGGCCACACGUCCAGUCACCCAUCCGCCCUGACCGCCGUGGAGAAAGCGUUCCCCAGCAAGUGCUGUGCAAUUCCGCCUCCGGCAAAGACAUUUGGGAACCACGG